UUUCCAACCUCCCUCACUGUCUCACUGUGUGUGUGUGUGUGUGUGUGUGUGUGUUUGACCAGAUCCACCAGAUCCACCAGAUCCGAGACCUUUUAUCAUCAGAGCGGUCGUCCUGACGCUGAUUCUGCUGGUGGCGAACAUUGCCUCUUACUUCUAUUUUAAGACCCACAGGGUCCACAGGGUGCAGAAGCCCCGCAGACGGGAGGACGUGGAGCUGGAUUAUUAUAACCUGGGUGUUCCUGCAGCUGAAGGAGGGCCGACUGAAGAAUAAGGAGCUCAGGGAGCAGAGUAGCACCUCCAAGCAGCUCGUCUCACACCCACAUGGAUUUAUAUUCACAAGUUCCCUUCAAUAUUCAGGAUUUGUUACAUUACAUUAUGAUGAAAAGACCACAACAUGUCCCUGAGCCUAUCGGUUCCUACAGAAGACCUAAAAACACCUCACUAAAGUAAGAGGUGAGAGCAGGUCUACAGAGUCCAAGCAGCCGGCACGAUUCAAAGCAAACACACAGCGACCCAGGCCGACCAGGAACAACCAGCAGGAUCAUGUUAAAUAUCUAAACACUGUUAGUGCGGGAGGCUUUAAGAGCCCCGGCUCUCUGUAUUCACUUGUUUUGAGUCUUUUCUAAAAACCAAGUCUAGAACAAAAGAACCGGGGCAGUUUACCAUUCAUUAAAAGAACACAAGAAAGGAUCACAAGUGCCAAAAAGUUCCUAAAAUCACAGUUUUCUUCUGGGUGUGGGACCCACCCAGACAACAGGUUGGGCUUUGUCGCAAUUGGUCAAUUUUGUAUGGUGACUCAGUAGCCAACCCAUACUGGACACCUGGUGAUAUUUCAUUUAAAAACUAGACACCUUCCCUUUCUACUUAGUAGAAUAGUUUUUAGGUCUAUGGUGUCUUGUACGUAUGGUUAAUUAGUACGACAUCUUGAAGCUAACAGACAAAGUGAAACUUUAAACAUCAGAACUUCAUCUAGUCAGUGAGGUAUGAACUUUAUGAUUUAACUUUAUGUCUCAUUUAUUGCUGUGAGUAAGAGCUCGGCAGCAGGAGUACAUUUAGCUCAACAAGAACCAUAAUAAUACAAAAAAAGAGACAAAAACAACAGAGGUAAUUUUUAUCAGAAUUGACCUAUGGCUAAGCCCCGCCUCCUCCACUCACUCGGACAAACAGUCAACAUUGGGUGACAGGCACGAUGGCAGCUGUCACAGUAGGACACAUUUCACAGGAGGCAAUUGAUUAAUUUCGGAGACAGAUAGAUUAUAAAUCAUCUCGAAGUCACCAAAAGGGCCUUAACUAUGCAUUGGAGGGUUAAAUUAAUAAUUUUAUUGUUGAGAAGGUCGAUGAAAAGCUUCAGCUUCAGGCAAAAAUGUACAGGUCACAGUGUAAACGUGAUAAACUGCAUCUCGUUGCCAUCAAUGGUUCAUGAUAAAAUUAUAUACAGGUCUAAGUUGCAUACGUUUCCAGGACAACAAGCCUUUUAACCAUCUUUACCCAGAGUUCCUCUCUGUUAGUUUGGUGCUACAGUAUUUACAUGAAUCAUUCAGCACAACAUUGCUAACAUUUGUUAUCUCGGUUAUUUACAGAUAAGUUAAUGAAGGUAAGCUCCAAAAGUUAACGUUAGUAUAACUAGAGCCCUUUGGACAACAGCUAACAAUCAUGUACGAUAGCCAAAGUACAAAAACUAGCACAUAACAGGCCAAUGAGCUCCCAGCAAACAAAGUGACAUGAUGUACAACGCAGCUAGAAGCUAACUUUAGCCUAACGUUAGAAAGGGUUAGGCUAACCUUAGAUAACGUUAGCCUAAUGUUAGAAAGGGUUAGGCUAACAUUAGCUAGCUAACAGAUGUAGACAUCCUUGUUCAUUUUAUCACGUUUAGUUGGUGUUGUGGUCUACCAUAACUUUCUCCAGAGCAGACACUUAUCUGGGUUGAGAUGUGGUAAAUGGUAGUAAAUCCCCCCGUGGCCUCUCAGGAUACCUAGUGUCAGAGUUGCAUGUACCCCAUGAACACCGUUUGACCAUUUUAAACUUAAAGUGUCAAGAAAAAACAUAUAAAAACAAUGAAAACGGACUAGCUCCAAUGCAUUUCAAUGGAUGUCGAAGCAGAGAAUUUCCCAGUGUAUUGGGUUAGCUAUGCGCACUGUGAUUGGCUCAUCUCGUUUGGGGGCGGGGCUUAGCCAUAGGUCAUCAGGCUGUCAAUCAGGAUUACCUUCUUUUUAUCACAAAGGAUUUUACUGAUUUCAUCAGUUGAGUUUAAUAUUGAAUUAAUAUUUCAAUUAGAUUUGUUUUUUGUAAUUAAGAUUUUGCUUUUUUCAUAAGAAUUUUGUCUACUAAUUUUUCUUCAUCAAUUGCAUUUAAUUAAUUGUGUUUUUUUGUGUUAUACUUCAGGACAUUGUAUCAUUUUUAAUAUAAUGGGUUUGUUUUUUUUAGGAUAAAUGGGUUUUACUUCUUUUUUAUUUUAACUUUGAUCAUUUUUUGUACUUCAGGAAUUUAAUUACUUAUGUGAAUAAGACAUGGAAUUUUAUCAUUUAAUUAGAAUUUGAGUUAUUUUGGCUUCAUGAAUUUACAAAUUCUAUUUCAAAUUUCACAACAUUUUCUACUUUGUAGUUGAUGAUGAAGAGAUUUUAGUGGAAGCCAGUGGAGUUAGGGUUUUUGAGAUGAUGAGCAGCAGAGUUUUGGAUCAUUUGAAGCUGAUGGAGGAGCUUGUGAGGGAGACCAAAGAGGAGAGAGUUGCAGUAAUCAAUGUGGGAGGUGACAAGACUAUGGACAAGCAUGGAAGUAGUGUUGUUUGAGGGAAGGGAGGAGACAGUUGAUGCUACAUACUUCAUGAAUUUUCUAUAUUUUUUUAACAUUUGUUUUCUAUGAAGUAUUUUGCUUUUUUUAUUUUAAAUUUGGCUCUUUUUGUACUUACAAACAUUUACUUUUGUGACUUUUGUGUGUGAGAAUUGGAAUUUUAUCAUUUCAUGAGAAUUUGAGUUAUUUUUGUACUUUGGCAAUUUAAUAAAUUAUUUGAAAAAUAUUGUUUUUAUUUAAUAAGAAUUUAAAUUCAUCUUGUUGUCAGGAUAUUUUAUAUGAAGGAUUUUGCUUAUUUCAUCAAAACUUUGCCUAUUUUUUUUUUGCCAAAAUGUGGUCAUAAGUUGUUUGUUUGCUGGAAGCUUGGAUACACAGAGAGAUGAAAUGAUGAAGAUCACUGUAAUAAAUGUAUCAGCAGCAUCGACUAUGUACAAACAACAUGAAUCACUUUAAUAAACAGAUGAUUUCAUGUGCUUGUGAAGAA